rnacentral:rRNA from 1 species
UACGUAGGGUGCGAGCGUUGUCCGGAAUUAUUGGGCGUAAAGAGCUCGUAGGCGGUGUGUCGCGUCGGUCGUGAAAAACUUUCAGCUUAACUGGGAGCUUGCGGUCGAUACGGGCAUCACUGGAGUUCGGCAGGGGAGACUGGAAUUCCUGGUGUAGCGGUGAAAUGCGCAGAUAUCAGGAGGGAACACCGGUGGCGGAAGGCGGGUCUCUGGGACGGUACUGACGC